rnacentral:rRNA from 1 species
GGUAGUCCACGCCGUAAACGAUGUCGACUUGGAGGUUGUGCCCUUGAGGCGUGGCUUCCGGAGCUAACGCGUUAAGUCGACCGCCUGGGGAGUACGGCCGCAAGGUUAAAACUCAAAUGAAUUGACGGGGGCCCGCACAAGCGGUGGAGCAUGUGGUUUAAUUCGAUGCAACGCGAAGAACCUUACCUACUCUUGACAUCCAGAGAACUUUCCAGAGAUGGAUUGGUGCCUUCGGGAACUCUGAGACAGGUGCUGCAUGGCUGUCGUCAGCUCGUGUUGUGAAAUGUUGGGUUAAGUCCCGCAACGAGCGCAACCCUUAUCCUUUGUUGCCAGCGGUUAGGCCGGGAACUCAAAGGAGACUGCCAGUGAUAAACUGGAGGAAGGUGGGGAUGACGUCAAGUCAUCAUGGCCCUUACGAGUAGGGCUACACACGUGCUACAAUGGCGCAUACAAAGAGAAGCGACCUCGCGAGAGCAAGCGGACCUCAUAAAGUGCGUCGUAGUCCGGAUUGGAGUCUGCAACUCGACUCCAUGAAGUCGGAAUCGCUAGUAAUCGUAGAUCAGAAUGCUACGGUGAAUACGUUCCCGGGCCUUGUACACACCGCCCGUCACACCAUGGGAGUGGGUUGCAAAAGAAGUAGGUAGCUUAACCUUCGGGAGGGCGCUUACCACUUUGUGAUUCAUGACUGGGGUGAAGUCGUAACAAGGUAACCGUAGGGGAAACCUGC